UGCAGAGUCAUUAAAUUUUGAUACAGUGUAGGGAUCCAAAUCAGAUUUUGAUAGAUACCAGUGUCUAAACUCUAAAGCAAUGUUUUGCAAUGCAAGAAGAUGAAAUGAUGAUCACAUAAUACUUCCAUUCUCAUUAAAUUUAGAUCAAUAACAAUGAAAGAGGACAUAGUACAAUAAUAUUAAGCCAACAAUAACAAAGGACAAGCUCAUUACUAAAUAGAUCACAUUAAAUAGGAAACGGUUCCAUUAUUCAACCACAUUAUGUAACAAUACAUUUAUUAAAAUACUAGCUUGUCAUUCAACUCAUUAAACUUCUAUGCAGCAAGUGAUUGAACAUACUCAUCCACCUCAAUGAAGUUCUUGACUGCAAAAUUUUUGACAAUACUUGGAUCAGGAAUAUCAUUACUAACUUUAACAUACUCAGCACACCAUUUCAUCUCACAUCCUUCUCCAACUGGUAUUAAAGCUAGGUGUCCCUUGAAUGAUUUGUAGUACUG
rnacentral:lncRNA from 1 species